AGAAGGGCGUUUGGUGAGGUUCAUUGAUUCAAGGGAUACUUGGAUCAGCAUAUCAUGAUCAAGCCCGCCUUGUAAUCUCAUCAGGUCAGGACCAGCUGAUAUGAAGCCUUUGUAGCCCUCUUCCCCACCUACGAUUUAAGCUCCAUGAGGAACAAAUGAAGCUUGCUGAAGUUCGAACACAUAAUUUCGGAUUCGCAAGGUAUUCUAAGGAGUUCGAGAGAAUGCUUAGCUGCACACAAGCUUAUUAUAGCUUGGGAGAGGAAUGUUAGACAACUCAGUACAACAUGAGGCAUAUCUUCUCUAAGAAUCAAGCACAAAACCUGUAAAUAUGGGAAAUGGAAAUUCGGCUUCAAUAAUAGUAGAAAGACAAGUGCAAUUGAACUUUUCUUCUAGCAAUUCUAUUUUUUUAGAUGGUGUUAAGCAUGUUUUAGAUAUUAGAAAAAAAUUAGUAAGUACUUCUUUAUUGGCUCAAAAUUGUUACAAACUUGUAUUUGAGUAAAAUCGAAUUGUAUUUAUAAAGAAUUGUUAUUUUAUUAGCAAAGGAUAUUUAUGAUAGUUUAUUUAAACUUAA